rnacentral:rRNA from 1 species
AGACCCGAAACCCGGUGAUCUAGCCAUGGGCAGGUUGAAGGUUGGGUAACACUAACUGGAGGACCGAACCGACUAAUGUUGAAAAAUUAGCGGAUGACCUGUGGCUGGGGGUGAAAGGCCAAUCAAACCGGGAGAUAGCUGGUUCUCCCCGAAAGCUAUUUAGGUAGCGCCUCGUGAAUUCAUCUCCGGGGGUAGAGCACUGUUUCGGCUAGGGGGCCAUCCCGGCUUACCAACCCGAUGCAAACUGCGAAUACCGGAGAAUGUUAUCACGGGAGACACACGGCGGGUGCUAACGUCCGUCGUGAAGAGGGAAACAACCCAGACCGCCAGCUAAGGUCCCAAAGUCAUGGUUAAGUGGGAAACGAUGUGGGAAGGCCCAGACAGCCAGGAUGUUGGCUUAGAAGCAGCCAUCAUUUAAAGAAAGCGUAAUAGCUCACUGGUCGAGUCGGCCUGCGCGGAAGAUGUAACGGGGCUAAACCAUGCACCGAAGCUGCGGCAGCGACGCUGAUGCGUUGUUGGG